AUUGAACGCUGGCGGAAUGCUUUACACAUGCAAGUCGAACGGCAGCACGGGGGCAACCCUGGUGGCGAGUGGCGAACGGGUGAGUAAUACAUCGGAACGUGCCCAGUCGUGGGGGAUAACGUAGCGAAAGUUACGCUAAUACCGCAUACGAUCUAUGGAUGAAAGCGGGGGACCUUCGGGCCUCGCGCGAUUGGAGCGGCCGAUGUCAGAUUAGGUAGUUGGUGGGGUAAAGGCUCACCAAGCCGACGAUCUGUAGCUGGUCUGAGAGGACGACCAGCCACACUGGGACUGCGACACGUCCCAGACUCCUACGGGAGGCAGCAGUUGGGAAUUUUGGACAGUGGGCGCAAGCCUGAUUCAGCCAUUCCGCGUGCAGGAUGAAGGCCUUCGGGUUGUAAACUGCUUUUGUACAGAACGAAAAGGCUCUGGUUAAUACCUGGGGCUCAUGACGGUACUGUAAGAAUAAGCACCGGCUAACUACGUGCCAGCCGCCGCGGUAAAAC
rnacentral:rRNA from 1 species